GGCUCAGUAGCUUAGUUUGUAAAGCGCUUGUCUAGCAUACAAGAGUCCUGGGUUCAAAUCCCAGCCGAGCAC
rnacentral:tRNA from 1 species